UGGGGAAUUUUGGACAAUGGGGGCAACCCUGAUCCAGCAAUACCGCGUGUGUGAAGAAGGCCUGAGGGUUGUAAAGCACUUUCAAUGGGGAGGAAUAGCGGUUAGUUAAUACCUGAUCGUGUGACAUUACCCAUACAAGAAGCACCGGCUAACUCCGUGCCAGCAGCCGCGGUAAUACGGAGGGUGCAAGCGUUAAUCGGAAUUACUGGGCGUAAAGCGUGCGUAGGUGGCUCGUUAAGUCAGAUGUGAAAGCCCCGGGCUUAACCUGGGAACGGCAUUUGAAACUGGCGAGCUAGAGUUGAGUAGAGGGGAGUGGAAUUUCAGGUGUAGCGGUGAAAUGCGUAGAGAUCAAGAGGAACACCUGAGGUGAAGACGGGUUGCUGGGCUGACACUGACGCUGAGGCGCGAAAGCCAGGGGAGCAAACGGGAUUAGAUACCCGAGUAGUCCCUGAGCGGGCUGGCAAGGCGCAU
rnacentral:rRNA from 1 species